rnacentral:rRNA from 1 species
AUUGAACGCUGGCGGCAUGCCUUACACAUGCAAGUCGAACGGUAACAGGUCUUCGGAUGCUGACGAGUGGCGAACGGGUGAGUAAUACAUCGGAACGUGCCCGAUCGUGGGGGAUAACGAAGCGAAAGCUUUGCUAAUACCGCAUACGAUCUACGGAUGAAAGCAGGGGACCGCAAGGCCUUGCGCGAACGGAGCGGCCGAUGGCAGAUUAGGUAGUUGGUGGGAUAAAAGCUUACCAAGCCGACGAUCUGUAGCUGGUCUGAGAGGACGACCAGCCACACUGGGACUGAGACACGGCCCAGACUUCUACGGGAGGCAGCAGUGGGGAAUUUUGGACAAUGGGCGAAAGCCUGAUCCAGUCAUGCCGCGUGCAGGAUGAAGGCCUUCGGGUUGUAAACUGCUUUUGUACGGAACGAAAAGACUCUGGUUAAUACCUGGGGUCCAUGACGGUACCGUAAGAAUAAGCACCGGCUAACUACGUG